ACCUGGUUGAUUCUGCCAGUAGUCAUAUGCUUGUCUCAAAGAUUAAGCCAUGCAUGUCUAAGUAUAAGCAAUUACAAAGCGAAACUGCGAAUGGCUCAUUAUAUAAGUUAUCGUUUAUUUGAUAGUACCUUACUACAUGGAUAACCGUGGUAAUUCUAGAGCUAUACAU
rnacentral:rRNA from 1 species